UGAGACUUCACCUGAGCUUACAUAGCUGGUAAGACAGAGCUGGAUUCACACACAGGCAAGCUGGAUCCAGAGUUUGAUCAGAAGAACAGGUGGGAGAUCUAGGUGAAGAGGAUAUUAAAUAUGUGAUACACAAUCAGCACAUAUUCUGGGAGCUAAACAACAUGGGUACAGGAGGAAUCCAAAAGACAACAGUAAGCCAUAACCUAAGCUAGCUCACUACAGUAGUAUGGCUAAAACCAACAGAACUCUGAUGCCAAAAGGUAAGAAAACAUUAUCGGUGGUUCUCUCUUCUUGGG